rnacentral:rRNA from 1 species
AUUGAACGCUGGCGGCAUGCCUUACACAUGCAAGUCGAACGGUAACGCGGGGCAACCUGGCGCCGACUGGCGAACGGGUGAGCAAAGCAUCGGAACGUGCCCAGUAGUGGGGGAUAGCCCGGCGCAAGCCGGAUUAAUACCACAUACGACCUAUGGGUGAAAGGGGGGGAUCGCAGGACCACGUCUUAUUGGAUCGGCCAAUGUCGGAUUAGGUAGUUGGUGGGGUAAAGGCAUACCAAGCCGACGAGCUGUAGCGGGUCUGAGAGGACGACCAGCCACACGGGGACUGAGACACGGCCCAGACUCCUACGGGAGGCAGCAGUGGGGAAUUUUGGACAAUGGGCGCAAGCCUGAUCCAGCCAUGCCGCGUGCGGGAAGAAGGCCUUCGGGUUGUAAACCGCUUUUGUCAGGGAAGAAAUCCUUUGGGUUAAUACCUCGGGGGGAUGACGGUACCUGAAGAAUAAGCACCGGCUAACUACGUGCCAGCAGCCGCCGUAA